rnacentral:snRNA from 1 species
AUGGCUUCUUGGUCUUUUAGCUAAGAUCAUGUGUAGUAUCUUUCUUAUCAAUUUAAUAUUUCCUGGCAGGUAGAGCUAUUUGUACUUUUCAAACCCAUCGGGCUCCCUCACACCUC